GAUGAAGAACGCAGCGAAAUGCGAUACGUAAUGUGAAUUGCAGAAUUCAGUGAAUCAUCGAGUCUUUGAACGCACAUUGCGCCCCCUGGUAUUCCGGGGGGCAUGCCUGUCCGAGCGUCAUUGCUGCCCUCAAGCACGGCUUGUGUGUUGGGCCUCCGUCCUCCUCCCGGGGGCCGGGCCCGAAAGGCAGCGGCGGCACCGCGUCCGGUCCUCGAGCGUAUGGGGCUUCGUCACCCGCUCUUGUAGGCCCGGCCGGCGCUUGCCGACACAUCAAUCUUUUUUCCAGGUUGACCUCGGAUCAGGUAGGGAUACCCGCUGAACUUAAGCAUAUCAAUAAGCAGAGGA
rnacentral:misc_RNA from 1 species